CAAUAGCGUAUAUUUAAGUUGUUGCAGUUAAAAAGUUCGUAGUUGGAUUUCGGUUAAGAGCGACCGGUCCGCCGUUUGGUGUGCACUGGUUGGUUUUAACUUCCUGUAGAGGACGUGCUCUGGGUUUAACGACCUGGACUCGGAGUCUACGUGGUUACUUUGAAAAAAUUAGAGUGUUCAAAGCGGGCUUACGCUUGAAUAUUUCAGCAUGGAAUAACACUAUAGGACUCCUGUCCUAUUUCGUUGGUCUCGGGACGGGAGUAAUGAUUAAGAGGAACAGUUGGGGGCAUUCGUAUUUCAUUGUCAGAGGUGAAAUUCUUGGAUUUAUGAAAGACGAACUUCUGCGAAAGCAUUUGCCAAGGAUGUUUNCAUUAA
rnacentral:rRNA from 1 species